rnacentral:rRNA from 1 species
UACAGAGGGUGCAAGCGUUGUUCGGAAUUAUUGGGCGUAAAGCGCGUGUAGGCGGCCAUGCAAGUCGGGUGUGAAAUCCCUCAGCUCAACUGAGGAAGUGCGCCCGAAACUGCAAGGCUUGAGUACCGGAGAGGAUGGCGGAAUUCCCCAAGUAGAGGUGAAAUUCGUAGAUAUGGGGAGGAACACCGGUGGCGAAGGCGGCCAUCUGGACGGAUACUGACGCUGAGACGCGAAAGCGUGGGGAGCAAACAGG